CGUAGGUGGCGAGCGUUGUCCGGAAUUACUGGGUGUAAAGGGCGUGUAGGCGGGAAUGCAAGUCAGAUGUGAAAUGCCGAGGCUUAACCUCGGAGCUGCAUCUGAAACUGCGUUUCUUGAGUGUCGGAGAGGAAAGUGGAAUUCCCAGUGUAGCGGUGAAAUGCGUAGAUAUUGGGAGGAACACCAGUGGCGAAGGCGACUUUCUGGACGAUAACUGACGCUGAGGCGCGAAAGCGUGGGGAGCAAACAGGAUUAGAUACCCUGGUAGUCCACGCCGUAAACGAUGGAUACUAGGUGUAGGAGGUAUCGACCCCUUCUGUGCCGCAGUUAACACAAUAAGUAUCCCACCUGGGGAGUACGGCCGCAAGGUUG
rnacentral:rRNA from 1 species